GUGCGGUGACCGGCCGUGCGGGAGCUGUGACGGUGCCUUCCCCGGCGGGGGACGGUGCGGUGACCGGCCGUGCGGGAGCUGUGACGGUGCCUUCCCCGGCGGGGGACGGUGCGGUGACCGGCCGUGCGGGAGCUGUGACGGUGCCUUCCCCGGCGGGGGACGGUGCGUCAAGGCUGUGCUGGCAACCAGCGCCCCAGAAGCACAGCCAGAUGAGUCCGGAGCUUCAGAGAGAAGAUUAACUGACGGCUUCUUCCGGCAGCCGCUUCCAGAGAUUCUCAUCGCCCAUAGGGUUCUCUCCAGUAGUUCUUAUUUUUGGAGGGGAGAAACCCAGUGGUCUCUGCACUAGCGAUGGGUACAGUUAAGUUUUUGGUGCCUCGGAGGCACCUGACACCGGCCGGGCUGAUGUGUUUCAUCUGGCAGCUCUCGCACUCAAUCCCGCCACACCCAGGGCUCAGGAGGGCUGGCGAAAUGCAGGGGCCUCGCUCUGAAAUGGGAGGGCAGGCUGCUCACCUGCUAGGCCUUGCCUCUGCAUGCCGCUUCUUGAGCCACUAGGCAUCCAUUCUCUCAGACUCAGGGCCAAGGCCAACAGGAAGGGAGCUUCCCCAAGCCGAGCCUUUGGAGAACGUUUGCCUGCCAGGGGCUCACGACAGCGAGGGUGUAUCUGCCACUCUCUCUCUCAUGUCCAGCUUUGAACCUUGUCAGAUGGCCGUAUCCUCUGUGCUACAGUUCCACCUAAUGCCAGAUAGUAGGCGAGCCCUCUCUUAUCGGGAGAGCAGCACUGGCGUGGAGGUAGAGGCGCCUCCUUCGGAGGUCUGUAUUGAACCUCUGGAGGCGGCCGGUACCUAAGUGCAGGCCUCUCUUCUUGUUACUGCCACCUCCUUGCUCAUCUGGCCCAUCUGGCAAAGAGAUUCUGCGGGAGGUCAUCCCUGAUGGAAGUGCCCAUCCGUCAUCUCCCUGGGAGAUAGGCACCCCUGCCCACUGCGGCAAACCCCUACUUCUGGCUCCUCCUUGGGAACCCCUUUGUUAUUCAUGAGGAUUAAAAAUAGACAGUGUGAAAAGUAAAA